CCCCGCAUGCCGCUGAAAACCAAGAGGAGUUCCAACAUUCGACCAGUUGACGCCAGACACCUGCACAAUGCGAGGGUACCUGCUGCUGCUGCUGGCUGGGGCACUGCUGCUCUCUGCCGCCGAGGCCAGGGGUUAUUACGGAAUCUGUUUCGUCGGCGGUAAGAUAGUACCCAACGGGAGUACCUGGAAUGCAUCGGGCUGCCGCGUGGGGAAAUGCACUGAUGGCAGCGUCUCUUACACGACAUGCUAUGUGAAGCCAUCGACGGACCCAUCAUGUGUUUUCGAGCAAGAUCUGAGUCAACCCUACCCGCACUGCUGUCCUCUGAUAUUAUGCUGACCCGUUACCUUUCCCACAACGACCUCACUUUGCGCUGGACCUGGACCGCCCGAGACAACCGCCUCUCAUUAAACAUAAAACGCUAAUAUAAGUUUACAUCGCCAACGGUUCAAAUUGGCACAACUUACAUUUCCAUACGAGUCACACGCAUUAAUGUUGACAAAAUUAGUAUUAAAACUCACGCAAUGACAUGUACAGCAUAAAAAAAAAAUGUAAGAAAAAAAAAUAAAAGUAAUCAAAUGCACAU